rnacentral:rRNA from 1 species
GACGCCCUUGACUCCCAUUACCCGGGUAACUGUGGGAAUUCUAGAGCUAAUACAUGCACCAAAGCUCUGACCUUGCGGGAAGAGUGCAUUUAUUAGAACAAAACCAAGCGGCUUCGGUCGUUUUUUGUUGACUCAGAAUAACUAAGCUGAUCGCAUGGUCUUGUACCGGCGACGUGUCUUUCAAGUAUCUGCCUUAUCAACUUUCGAUGGUAGUGUAUCUGACUACCAUGGUUGUGACGGGUAACGGAGGAUAAGGGUUCGACUCCGGAGAAGGGGCCUGAGAAAUGGCCACUACGUCUAAGGAUGGCAGCAGGCGCGCAAAUUACCCACUCUCAGAACGAGGAGGUAGUGACGAAAAAUAACGAGGCCGUUCUCUACGAGGCCGGUCAUCGGAAUGGGUACAAUCUAAACCCUUUAACGAGUAUCUAUGAGAGGGCAAGUCUGGUGCCAGCAGCCGCGGUAAUUCCAGCUCUCAAAAUGCAUAGAAUUAUUGCUGCGGUUAAAAAGCUCGUAGUUGGAUCUGUGCCAGGAGAGCGGUCCACUUUCGGGUGGUACUGCUACGACUGGCUUUUUGCUGGUUUUCUCGUCGUAGUCUUCACCGAUUGCGGCGGGUGGCUGGCGAUUUUACUUUGAACAAAUCAGAGUGCUUAACACAGGCGUUUCGCUUGAAUGUUCUUGCAUGGAAUAAUAGAAAAGGAUUUCGGUUCUAUUUUAUUGGUUUUAUAGACUGAGAUAAUGGUUAACAGAGACAAACGGGGGCAUUCGUAUUGCUGCGUGAGAGGUGAAAUUCUUGGACCGCAGCAAGACGAACUACAGCGAAAGCAUUUGCCAAGAAUGUCUUCAUUAAUCAAGAACGAAAGUCAGAGGUUCGAAGGCGAUCAGAAUUCCCGCCC